rnacentral:rRNA from 1 species
UACGGGGGGGGGCAAGCGUUGUUCGGAAUUACUGGGCGUAAAGGGCGCGUAGGCGGUUUGCUAAGUUGGAUGUGAAAACUCUGGGCUUAACCCAGAGCCUGCAUCCAAAACUGGCAAACUUGAGUACUGGAGGGGAAAGCGGAAUUCCUGGUGUAGCGGUGAAAUGCGUAGAUAUCAGGAGGAACACCGGGUGGCGGAAGGCUGGCUUUCUGGACAGUAACUGACGCUGGAGGCGACGAAAGGCUAGGGGAGCAAACAGG